CAUGGAGGGUGAGAAUCCCGUCCGGCUGACCUUCAGGACGUUUUACGAUACGCUCUCAAAGAGUCGAGUUGUUUGGGAUUGCAGCUCAAAAUGGGAGGUAAAUUUCUCCUAAGGCUAAAUACCGGCGAGAGACCGAUAGCGAACAAGUACCGUGAGGGAAAGAUGAAAAGAAUUUUGAAAAGAAAGUCAAACAGUACGUGAAAUUGUUGAAAGGGAAACGAUUGAAGCCAGUCGUACCGACGGGAAUUCAACUUCUCGAGUGCUAAUCGUGGGUGACGUUGAGCCUCACGGCCUUCGUUGCUUGUGUUGUUGGUGCUUUUGGGGUGUACUUUUCCGUAUUGGUAGGUCAGCAUCGAUUUCGAUCGUCAUAAAAUGAUCGGGGGAAUGUAGCUUCGGUCUCGUAUCGGAGUGUUAUAGACCUUGGUAGAUGUGACGAUUGGGAUCGAGGAUUGCAACGAAUACCCUCUGGGCUAUCCGUCUGACCUCUGAAAGUCGCUCGGGUGUCGAAAGCGUGCUUAUGGCUAUUCGAGUUGGCGGUCAACAGGUUAGAACGCGAUUACAUUCGUUAAGGAUGUUGACGUAAUGG
rnacentral:rRNA from 1 species